rnacentral:misc_RNA from 1 species
GAUGAAGAACGUAGCAAAAUGCGAUAAGUAAUGUGAAUUGCAGAAUUCAGUGAAUCAUCGAAUCUUUGAACGCACAUUGCGCCCGCCAGUACUCUGGCGGGCAUGCCUGUCCGAGCGUCAUUUCAACCCUCAGGGCCCUCCAGCAGGGCGCUGGUGUUGGGGAUCGGCAGUCCCAGCGGCUGCCGUCCCUGAAAUGUAGUGGCGGUCCCACCGUGACCUCCCCUGUGCAGUACAUCGCUCGCAGAGGGACAGCGGUGCGGCCACGCCGUAAAACGCCCAACUCUUCAAGGUUGACCUCGGAUCAGGUAGGACUACCCGCUGAACUUAAGCAUAUCAAUAAGCAGAGGA